GCCGGGCGUGGCAGUGGGUGCCUGUAAUCCCAGCUCUUGGGAGGCUGAGGCAGGAGAAUCGCUUGAACCCGGGAGGUGGAGUUUGCAGUGAGCCGAGAUCGUGCCACUGCACUCUAGCCUGGGUGACAGAGUGAGACUCUGUCUCAA
ensembl:misc_RNA Metazoa_SRP Metazoan signal recognition particle RNA